UGGAGAACAGCCUCCACUUGACUGGGAAGCGGGAACGAUUGACCAGCGCGUGAGCUGAGGGCUCUGAGUUCAGAACAGGGCCCGGUGCAGGCAGAUUCUGCGAGAGGAGGGAGCGAGGGUCCUUUCCCCAGAUCACUGGCAAACUGAAUAAUCAGUCUUCCAAACUGCUGGGCCAUGGACUCCAAAACAGCCCGAAUCUCGACUACCUUCUCACUGCUCCCUUCCUGCGGCCUCACCACGGCCUGGGUGUUCAAGAAACGCUUGGUAACUGAGUGAAUCACGACCUUCGCCCCCACCCCCAACUCACAACACAGCAUUCAGGUCACAAUCCGGUCCAGACCCACAGGCCAAGCCUAGCCUGCUUCGGCUCCCGGUAACACACACCACCGCAGUGAACAUGCCCCUCGGCACCUAGCCAGGCUGCCUCUCGCGGGGCUCUCUGCCUCCGAACCCCUAACUCCUCCAGCUGAAGGGCACUGCCCCCGGCCCCCUCCGUGGACCGCCGACAGGGCUUCCCCCGGGAACAAAGCCGGGGGCCAGUCACCCCAUCCCGGCAGCAGUCCCGUGCAAGCCGCAUGCACGGGCGGCUGCCGGCUCGGCGGGGCCCCACCUGCGUCAGCCACUGCGGAGCAGCGCUCCGGGGAGGACCGAGCAGAUGGGAGGCAGAGCGGAGCACGCACGGCCUCCUCCGAGUGCCGACCCCGCACAGGCGGCCGGGAGCCCCAGGCGCUGUCUUUGGCGCUAGAUGCCCCCACAGAAACGCUCAGCGCCCCCCACCCCCCACCCCGCGUGUGAAGCCAGCUGGCAUUCUCGCCGCGCCUCUGCGGGACUGACUCCGCGAGUUCGAGUCAGUGAGGGGCCCCCAGGAAACCCUGGUUUUGCCCAGAAGUUCACGGGUCCUUGUCUCCCCAGCGACCCAACCCCACAACUGUAGCCUCGAACCGCGCAACGAAGCUGUCUGCAAAGGCCUGGCUGACUUUUAAUCCCUGCGGGCAAAGGCCUGCGAGGAACAAUAGGAGUCCCUCGUGACCUCCGAGUGGCCUUCCUGACCCUAGAACGCGCACCGACCCAGGCUUGGGUUUUCGGGGUCUCACCCCGCAGUGGCCUCACAGCCACCCGGACGGCAUGCCUGGAAAACCAUCUUCCUCAGAACUCCGAAGUUCCGGAGGGAGCCGUACUCUGGACAGGCCCUCCACGCCUGCCCAGACAUCUCCCUCCUCCCCAGCUUUCUCGUCCCCUAACUUUUCCCAGACCCUGAGGACACUCUAGGUAACGAAAACAAAACGAAGUAAAAGAGCAAGUUACAUAUCCAUCUGGGAAAAGAGAGGAGAGAUUCAAUAUCUGGAGGAGAAGAGAGCGUGCUGUGCUUAAGAAGCCGCGAGGCAAGGAAGCCUGGUGGAAGGAAACGCAGGGGUCGGACACACCUUGGACCACGGCGUUGUUUAUAACGCAGCUUCAUCACUGUGGGUGGGGAGUGUGGAAGUGAGGCAGCCGGCAGGUGUUGUCCUGACAUUCAGCUGUUUUGGGGAAAAGUGUGCUAGAAAGACAAGAGGACCAGAUCAACCAGAUUUGCUCAUCCAAUUGAAGUGUUCUCAAUUAAUCUUGAAAUGGUCAGUGAAGGCAAGAAGUCAGCGGUGCCUAAGGAAUGAGAAAGUGCAAGCCGAUCUAGAGAGACAAAUGCCAGCGAAGGACCCCACGGCUGAGAUAGACAGUGCGCUCGGCUCUCAGGAGGCAGGCGAGGCGUGCGCGGGUCUCUGCGUUGGCACCAUCUGCUGAUUCCUCAGGAGGACGGAACAAACCAGCGAGCCAUGAAGAUUCGAUUAUGUAACGCUGGAGGAUUGCUUGUUUUCAAAAGGGGAACAAAUGGAACGAAUUGAUUUGUUUGUCAAAGUCAUGUCAUUAAAGGAGACCAGUCCCCUCCUCUUCCUAAAGGACCUCAUCAAAGAGGGGAGUGAUUUCACACACUCAGAAAAGAGGAGACUAGGAGCUGGGUGCAGUGGCCCACGCCUGUGAUCCCAGCACUCAGGGAGGCAGAGGCAGGGGGAUUGCUGUGAGUUCCAGGCCAGCCUGGUCUACAAAGUGAGUAUAGGACAGCCAGGGCUACACAGAGAAACCCUGUCUCGGAAAAACAAAACAAAAAACGUCUAUGGCCAUGUCACCCUGAACACGUCUAAUCUCUUGACCUCGGAAGAGAAGCAGAGUCAGGCCUGGGAGAAAAUACAAGACCAAGACAGGGAGAGGUAACAGCACUUGCACUGGACCCUGAUGACCCCGCUGGACCCCUGGGACCCACAGGGCAGCAGGAAGGAGCAGACCCGAGCAAACUGUCCUCCGACCUCCACAUGUGCGGGCAGCAAGCGGGUCCUCCUCCGCCUACAAGUAAGUGAGCGCCUGAGAAGAGAAGUGCAAAGCCAUGAUUCAGCCGUCCAUACAAGCAAGCCCAUUUCCAAAGCUGUACUGGCAAACCCUUUUCUGGCUUCUCUGCUCGAAAAACGGCUGUUCCACGGGUCCCUAAAGGGCACAGCCAUAGCACGGAACAGAAUUGCCACCACACACACACACACCGUCAGCUCCUGCACCCUCCCGCUUUGCCUGACCUCUCUUGUUUUCAGGGAGGUUAACAUUGCCUCUUGAAAUGAAGGGGGUCAUAUUUCUGUUCAGAACGCUAAACAAGGACUCCAGAGAGUAAGGAAGCCUUCCUUUUUUAAAAAAAAACGGUUUAUUUUAUUUCUAAUUCUCUCUGUGUGUAAAACUGACUAUAAGGGCCCUAGGAGGCCCCAGAACUGGAGUUGUAGGCAGUUGUGUGUGUGUGUGUGUGUGUGUGUGUGAAGGGAGGGUCAAAGGACAACUUGCUGAUGUUGGUUCUCUCCUUCAGGGCACCAUCGAUCAAACUCUGGUCACCAGGCUUGGCCCCAACCACUUUGACCUAUGGUGCCAUCUUAGUGGCCCGGCCCCAUCAUCUUUAGUCAACACAGAAAUUAAACCUGUAGUAUCCGGUCUUUCCCAUGCACCCCUCCAGCCCACCUUCCCGCUCUUCUCCAUGCUCUUCUCUGCCCUCGGGUUUUGCUCUCUCACCCUCCAGCUCUUGGGAGUGGCAGGAGAAGACUGAGAGCAGAAAGAGAAUGUAACCCCCAGCUCCCACGCUGCCGUAGUGCCUCAGAUUGGUGGUGUCUUGACUGGAAAGUCGACCCUCCUCAAAGGUGGGCCGGGCUCCCAGAACCCUCUCUUUCUGGGCUCUGUAGCUUUUUAUUUUUAAUAAAUAUUUUUAUUUUUUAUUUAUUUAACUUUAUUUUAUGUGCAUUAGUGUGAAGGUGUCAGAUCCCUUGGAACUGGCCUUACAGACAGUUGCAAGCUGCCAUGUGGGUGCUAGGAAUUGAACCCAGGUCCUUUGGAAGAGCAGCCAGUGCUCUUUAACCACUGAGCCAUCUCUCCAGCCCCCUGGGCUCUGUAACUUCUUCUUCAGCUGUCAUAUGUAAGAGUGGCAAAGGCUAUUUCUAGCUCCUUGGACACCGUACCCAUCUUAUGAUUUCCUUGUGCCCUGCCCAAACCUUGUAAAUAGUCCUUAAAUCCUCCUCUAAUCAUCCAUCUAAUUUGAGCACACCAUCUGUUUCAUGUACAGACCCUGUCUGAUACACCACCACCUCACAUCAGUCUGUCCUGGGCCCUCUAUCACGUUAAACUUGAAAGAGAAGAAAAUGUUAAUAACGCAGCUUGCUACGGCUCUGUGUGGUUAGUCUAUGCAUUCACCUUUUCCCAAAGCUAUAAUAACAACGUAAAGAGAAAGUCUAAUGCCUCUUUACAGCAUAAUUGUGCAGCGGAGUUUGUAUGAGCUAAAUAUAAUUCGGAGAACAAGCUUUUUCGUGCCAUCAAAAUUCAUGUUAACAACUAUAAAGAGAAAACUCCAGAACUGAUGCCCCUGAGUCAGGAUUUAACAGAAAAUACAUUCUAGUAUUUAAAUCAGUCGACCAAAUAUUUGAGAGUCCGUGUGGCCAGUAAGGUUUUUUUUGUUUGUUUGUUUUUUGUUUUUUUUUUAAGGGGAGGGGGAGCAACACAGACAUGAGCUGGGUGGGACUGGGUCUUUGUUUUAUUAAAUGAAUGCACUUUCAAGAAGGCGAAUUCGGGCUGGUGAGGUGGUUCAGCGGGUUAGGAUAUUUGCCACGAAGCCUGACCACCUGAGCUUCGGGCAUUGUGAAAGGAGAGAACUGACUCCCUCCGGCUGUCAUCUGACCUCCACAGGCAUGCUGUGGUAUGCCCUGCCCCCUGCCCCCAAACAGCUGCACACACAAAUAAAUAAAUGUAAGACAAUAACUCAAUAAGGCUCAAGUAGGAGGAUGCCUCAUGGAGUACUCGCACACUCAGGAGGCUGAGUCAGGAAUCGUGCAGGCUCGAGGCCUGGGUGGGCAACACGGUGAGACCCUGCCUUUCAAACAAUAAGAAGAAGCUGGGGCUCAGUAGUAAAGAAGCUUGCAGAAGACCCGAGUUCAGUUCCCAGCACCCAUGUUGGAGGACUCGCAGUGACCCACAACUCCAGCUCCAGGUGCCAAAGCUCUGGGCUCCUCUGUUACCUGUCCUCAUAGGCACAGGCCUCGCCAACACUUGCAAGUUAAAAAACGGUAUUUUGAAAAGUUGGAUUGCAAAUUUCAUUUCCAUAAAUCAAACUGUGUUUCGUGAUCAGGAGGAGCUUGCUAUUUGCAUAAUAAGUUAGUAAAAUAACCACCUUUUUGAUGUUCUGAACCAAUCAGGCCGCGAGGCACAUCUGUUCGGUGUCCUUCCAGUGAAAUUUAUCUUCAGCCUGCAGGGAGGAUCACUCGCCUUCCAUGCUCCUGAAAUAGCAGGAAUUAUGGAAUGGAAUGUAGAGGAAAGAUAAGAAAAUUGCCAUUUAUAGACCACACGGAAAACACAGGCAAUUUGCAUCUGUUGGGCACAUUUAACCCUGAAAAUAAACACGUACUCUAACGCUUUCUUAUUUUCUACAUCUGAAAAAAGAUUUAAAAAAAAAAAUUUUUUUUUUUAAAACCUACAUAGAAAAAUCAGCAAGGCAAGUACAGAAAUCAAAAUCCGCUUUUCUUCUCAGACCAGAAGGCAAAGUGAAAACGUUCCUCAGUGUAGGAUUCUGAGGCCCACAUCCGCAGCCACAGCGUUUUCCGGCCGCUCUCGGGACUGGGUCCAGGUUUCUUCACACAGCCUGGCUCCUCUCUAGCAUCCUCACCCUCAACCCUCCUAGAUACUUCUGCCUUGAAGGCCUGGGCGACCCCCGUCCUGCUGUAAGCUUUCCUCCGGAUUAUCUCAAACCCAUCCCUGCCAUCUCCACGCAGUUUGCACUUCCCAGGAAAUGUCUGUCUCCCCAGCUGGGCCCACAGCACUGAGGCCCACACCAGAGAAGGGCUUGCUGCUAUACCCGAUGUUAGCCAUUUGCCACCAUUUCCCUCUUUGGUCCUGUUCUCCUCCAGCCCCGGAAGGGCACCGGGCAGUGCCUCUCUUAGACACAGGGACAGUCUAGUCCAGGUGUGGUGAUAUGAACAUGUGAGCCCAGCAUUCAGGAGGAGAAGGCAGGGGUGUCAGAAGGUCAAGGUCACCCUUGACUACAAUAAGGAGUUUAAUACACGGGAUAGUCAACAGAGCUUUCCUGGAGCUUCAUGCUCUGGACUCAUCACCUCUCUCUCCCCAUCACACACACACUUGGUGGCUCUCGAGGGGAAUUCCUCCUGCGGUUCCAAGGACAGUGGGAGGUCCCUCAGGCCUCUCAUCUGCAGGCUCCUGGAGCAUCCAGUCACAUGACUGUGACUAUGGUGGCUUUGGAGGGUUUUUGUUUGGUUGUUUGGUUGGUUUAUCCAGAGGUCCCUGUCCUAGUGUUGGGAUACCAACUCAGUUUCCCUGCUUUUCAAAAUGUCCAUGCCCCCUUGGCCCAUCUUCAUAUUUUAAAAGUUCUGGUGGGGUGAGGGCUCAGUCAGUAAAAGUGUUUGCCAGGGAAACACCAGGACCUCAGUUGAUCCCCUAGAGUUCACAUCAAAACAACAAAUGAACUCCCCAGACCUGGCCAUUGUGCACCCUUGCAACCCCAGGACUGGGAGGCAGAGUCAGGCAGAUCUCCAGGGCUCACUGGCCAGUCAGGCCAGCCAAAUCAGUGAGCUCAGGAAACAAGGUAGAUGGUACCUAAGGAGUCUCCCAAGAAACAGGACCUCUUUUUCACGAGCACACACACCUGUACGAACACAAGUUCAAACACUCACAUACAUGCAAAUAUGUGCAUUCCUGUCUUUAAAGACAAGAAAAGAGAAAUAAAACAUCAUUGGCUGUAGCCUGACUUUUGGCUAUUUUAUUAAAUUCUUUUUCCUACCUUCUUACACCACCUCUAUCCUUUCUAAGCCCCCCAACACUAGGUAGGAGAGGAAGACGGGGAAAGGAGCACCGAUGUUGUUAGAGUACUUCCAGGUGAUUAGGGGUGUUGAGUUGCUUGGGGCGAUUUUGAUCUUCAUUGUCAGGAUAUCUCCAACCAGCAAUCCAGCAACCAG